UCAGGAUGAACGCUAGCGGCAGGCCUAACACAUGCAAGUCGCGGGGCAGCACGGGUAGCAAUACCUGGUGGCGACCGGCGCACGGGUGCGUAACGCGUAUGCAACCUGCCCCCAUCAGGGGAAUAGCCCGCCGAAAGGCGGAUUAAUGCCCCAUAGGCCCAGGGCGCCGCAUGGCGCUAUGGGUAAAGCUCCGGCGGAUGGGGAUGGGCAUGCGUGCCAUUAGCUAGUUGGGGCGGUAACGGCGCACCAAGGCGACGAUGGCUAGGGGGUCUGAGAGGAUGGUCCCCCACACUGGUACUGAGACACGGUCCAGACUCCUACGGGAGGCAGCAGUGAGGAAUAUUGGACAAUGGAUGGAAAUCUGAUCCAGCCAUGCCGCGUGAAGGAAAGAAGGUCCUAUGGAUUGUAAACUUCUUUUGUAUGGGAGCAAUAAGGCCUACGAGUAGGUUGAUGAGAGUACCAUACGAAUAAGCACCGGCUAACUCCGUGCCAGCAGCCGC
rnacentral:rRNA from 1 species